rnacentral:rRNA from 1 species
AUGACCUUAAUAGAUUUCAUAGAGCUGAGCGAUGAUAACAUUAUUGACUUGAGCAGCGAUGAGGAGACUGUUCAUGAGGAUCAGAUUGCAACUCAACACCGGGCGAUGUUGCUUGAUAAGCAGGGUGUGUUUUUCCUUGCUGGUGAAGGAAGCCAAGGGGUGCAGGCCGUGUUUGUUGCAGCUGGUGAAGGAAGUCAAGAUGAGCAGGCUGUGUUUGUUGCAGCCAAUGAAGGAAGUCAAGAUAGGCAGGCUGUGUUUGUUGCAGCUAGUGAAGGAAGGCAAGAGGCUUCUGAGCCCGGACAUGCUUUGGAAGCUACCGCAUCGUCCAUGAUUAUGGAGGAAGCACCUCUUGUUGCAGCUAGUCAAGGAAGUCAAGAUGUGCAGGUUGUCUCUGUUGCAGCUAGCGAAGGAAGGCAAGAGACUGCUGAGUCCGUACAUGCUUUGGAAGCUACCGCAGUGUCCUUGGUUACGGAAAAACCACCUGUUGAUACGGUUGUGCUCGCUCUCCCACAUGCUGGAUCACUGAAUUGUCUUGGCUCUCCAACAUCAGGGCCAUUCGCUAGUAAAUUCCUCUCGUUCCCCUUUUGUCAUUACAGCCUGACUUCCACCGCUCCGAAGGCUCUGAUGUCUGAAGGUGGCGACACAAAGCUGGUGAGAGCGAAGGUGAAACGUCCUAGGAAGAACCACCAUACCGGCACUCCUAAAGCUGUGACUUCUGAAGGUGGCGACGCAAAGCCCGUGAGACUGAAGACGAAACAUCCUAAGAAGAAGAACCAUACAGAAAAACCACCUGUUGAUACAGUUGUGCUCGCUCUCCCACAUGUUGGAUCACCGAAUUGUCUUGGCUCUCCAACAUCAGGGCCAUUCGCUAGCUUGACUUCCACCCCUCCGAAGGCUCUGACGUCUGAAGGUGGCGACACAAAGCUGGUGAGAGCGAAGGUGAAACGUCCUAGGAAGAACCACCAUACCGGCACUCCUAAAGCUGUGACUUCUGAAGGUGGCGACGCAAAGCUCGUGAGACUGAAGACGAAACAUCCUAAGAAGAAGAACCAUACAGAAAAACCACCUCUUGGUACGGCUGUCCUCGCUCUCCCACAUGCCGAGUCGCCGAAUUGUCCUCACACAUCAGCGCCAUUCCCCAGCCUAACUUGCACUAGCCCGAAGGCUCUGUCCUCAGAAGGUGGCGACGCAAAUCUGAUGAGUGGGAAGGUGAAACAUCGUACGAAGAACUACCGACCCUGCAAACUAACUCCUUAG